rnacentral:rRNA from 1 species
UACGGAGGAUCCGAGCGUUAUCCGGAUUUAUUGGGUUUAAAGGGUGCGUAGGUGGUUUGAUAAGUCAGCGGUGAAAGUUUGCAGCUUAACUGUAAAAAUGCCGUUGAAACUGUCGGACUUGAGUGUAAAUGAGGUAGGCGGAAUGCGUGGUGUAGCGGUGAAAUGCAUAGAUAUCACGCAGAACUCCGAUUGCGAAGGCAGCUUACUAAGCUACAACUGACACUGAAGCACGAAAGCGUGGGGAUCAAACAGGAUUAGAUACC